AAUAGAUACCCAGGUAGUCCACGCUGUAAACGUUGGGCGCUAGGUGUGGGGGGGCCUCUCCGGUUCUCUGUGCCGCAGCUAACGCAUUAAGCGCCCCGCCUGGGGAGUACGGCCGCAAGGCUAAAACUCAAAGGAAUUGACGGGGGGCCCGCACAAGCGGCGGAGCAUGCGGAUUAAUUCGAUGCAACGCGAAGAACCUUACCUGGGUUUGACAUGGCCGCAAAACCUGCAGAGAUGUGGGGUCCUUCGGGGGCGGUCACAGGUGGUGCAUGGCUGUCGUCAGCUCGUGUCGUGAGAUGUUGGGUUAAGUCCCGCAACGAGCGCAACCCUUGUUCGAUGUUGCCAGCACGUUAUGGUGGGGACUCAUCGAAGACUGCCGGGGUCAACUCGGAGGAAGGUGGGGAUGACGUCAAGUCAUCAUGCCCCUUAUGUCCAGGGCUUCACGCAUGCUACAAUGGCCGGUACAAUGGGCUGCGAUACCGUGAGGUGGAGCGAAUCCCAAAAAGCCGGUCUCAGUUCGGAUCGGGGUCUGC
rnacentral:rRNA from 1 species